GAGUUUGUCAUGGCUCAGAUUGAACGCUGGCGGCAUGCCUUACACAUGCAAGUCGAACGGCAGCACGGGAGCUUGCUCCUGGUGGCGAGUGGCGAACGGGUGAGUAAUGCAUCGGAACGUAUCCUGGAGUGGGGGAUAACGUAGCGAAAGUUACGCUAAUACCGCAUAUUCUGUGAGCAGGAAAGCGGGGGACCUUCGGGCCUCGCGCUCUUGGAGCGGCCGAUGUCGGAUUAGCUAGUUGGUGAGGUAAAGGCUCACCAAGGCGACGAUCCGUAGCAGGUCUGAGAGGAUGAUCUGCCACACUGGAACUGAGACACGGUCCAGACUCCUACGGGAGGCAGCAGUGGGGAAUUUUGGACAAUGGGGGCAACCCUGAUCCAGCCAUGCCGCGUGAGUGAAGAAGGCCUGG
rnacentral:rRNA from 1 species